CCAUAGUGUGNUCUGGAAACUGUCUGACUUGAGUGCAGAAGGGGAGAGUGGAAUUCCAUGUGUAGCGGUGAAAUGCGUAGAUAUAUGGAGGAACACCAGUGGCGAAAGCGGCUCUCUGGUCUGUCACUGACGCUGAGGCUNGAAAGCGUGGGUAGCGAACAGGAUUAGAUACCCUGGUAGUNCACGCCGUAAACGAUGAGUGCUAGGUGUUAGGCCCUUUCCGGGGCUUAGUGCCGGAGCUAACGCAAUAAGCACUCCGCCUGGGGAGUACGACCGCAAGGUUGAAACUCAAAGGAAUUGACGGGGGCCCGCACAAGCGGUGGAGCAUGUGGUUUAAUCCGAAGCAACGCGAAGAACCUUACCAGGUCUUGACAUCCCGAUGCUAUUCUUAGAGAUAGGAAGUUACUUCGGUACAUCGGAGACAGGUGGUGCAUGGUUGUCGUCAGCUCGUGUCGUGAGAUGUUGGGUUAAGUCCCGCAACGAGCGCAACCCUUAUUGUUAGUUGCCAUCAUUAAGUUGGGCACUCUAGCGAGACUGCCGGUAAUAAACCGGAGGAAGGUGGGGAUGACGUCAAAUCAUCAUGCCCCUUAUGACCUGGGCUACACACGUGCUACAAUGGUCGGUACAACGAGUUGCGAGCCGGUGACGGCAAGCUAAUCUCUGAAAGCCGAUCUCAGUUCGGAUUGGAGGCUGCAACUCGCCUCCAUGAAGUCGGAAUCGCUAGUAAUCGCGGAUCAGCACGCCGCGGUGAAUACGUUCCCGGGCCUUGUACACACCGCCCGUCACACCACGAGAGUUUGUAACACCCGAAGUCGGUGAGGUANCCUUUUAGGG
rnacentral:rRNA from 1 species